rnacentral:rRNA from 1 species
GACGAACGCUGGCGGCGUGCUUAACACAUGCAAGUCGAACGGAAAGGCCCUGCUUUUGUGGGGUGCUCGAGUGGCGAACGGGUGAGUAACACGUGAGUAACCUGCCCUUGACUUUGGGAUAACUUCAGGAAACUGGGGCUAAUACCGGAUAGGAGCUCCUGCUGCAUGGUGGGGGUUGGAAAGUUUCGGCGGUUGGGGAUGGACUCGCGGCUUAUCAGCUUGUUGGUGGGGUAGUGGCUUACCAAGGCUUUGACGGGUAGCCGGCCUGAGAGGGUGACCGGCCAAAUUGGGAAUGAGAUCGGGCCCAGACCCCUACGGGGGGCAGCAGUGGGGAAUUUUGCACAAGGGGGGGAAGCCUGAUGCAGCAACCCCGCGGGGGGGGUGACGGCCUUGGGGUUGUAAACCUCUUUCCCCUGGGACGAAGCGGGAGUGACGGUAAUGGGAAAAGAAGCACCGGCUAACUACGG